GGUGGUCGGCCUGAGGCUGGGUGUUCGGAUCUCGGGAUUCGUCAUCUGGCACCAGCUGCGAGUCGGGAAGACGUAGUUGCCGGUGAAAACCGAGCCGACGGCGGGCGAUGGCGGCGUUCCACGUCGUUACCUUGAUGAAGGCAUCGUCAUGUGACUACCGUCGACCCACUCGUAUUGCUCCGGGGGAAACCCUAGGAUCUGGUGUUCCAGACCGGACGAUGGCGGCAGUGCGGUGUCGUUUCUCUCUUGGGAGCAUCAUUUUAUGGAGCAGCGCUGGAAGUAAGAGGCAGGAGGUGGAGUGGCUUCGUCUUGCAUAGAGCUUUGAUGGUGAUGUCUAGUCAUGCCUGAUCGAAGGUGCUACGCUUGGUCAUGCCUGGUCAGCAGGUGCUACGCACGACAGAUCCUCCACGGGCUUCAAGCUGUGUCAGCUGGUGGUACUUGGCAGCAUGGCGCUGAGGUGUAUCAGUGGCGAUCGCGACGUGUUCAGCUGUUUGCGCGGGAGGUGCCGUUGGGCGCCGUGAUCGCGUUGAUGAUAGCUGGACCGAGCAAGGUUGAUGCAUCAGUACAGUUCUGAAGAUGGAGCGGUGACAGUUGGCGGCGGCGGCCUCUGAGAGCACGCCGGACCAGUGUGUGCCCCAGACCCGGCAAGUGGCUAGGUUGGGGUGUCAGGUCUUAGAUGUUAGGCUUGGCUGCGAUGUCUGUUUGGUAUUAGGCCCAGGCUAUCUGCGCCCCUACAUCAAUUGGAUAGGUGUAGCGACAGUUUGUUGCUUAGACCGUGACUUUAGUCUUACUAUUGUAUGACUUUGUAAGGUCUUGUGAAAAUAAUUAAUAAAAUGGCUAUAUGCAUCGCCCAGAUGCAGAGGCCGGGGGUCAUCCUCCUUUCCUAAAAAAAAGAUGAAGUAGCAUAGGGGGGUAGCACUCACCUCUGGCUGUGAGCUUGCAUCGAGCUCCAAACUUCAAGUGAGUCUGCAUGAGCUCCCCCUGUAUCUCGACGUACCAGCAGACCGCCCCCGCACACGAUGUUGUUUAGUGGGGAACUGCGGCAUGGAGCAGCUGCCACAGUCUAGGCUCAGGUACAGGUGUGCCGGACGCAAGCAGUGCUACCCGCAAUAGCUCUCGCCUUGCCUCCGGCGACAGCGACGGCCCCGAACGGCACACCGCAAUCUCAUCUUCCCUCUUCCUCUUGUGCAGAAUUGUCCCACCUUGCUCUCUUCCAUUAAAUCCUCCCAAUUUAAAUACAAGUUUAUGUUUUCUCCGUAUCAAGGAGCCGUCUCAGGAGUUAACGAGCGAAGGGUGUGAGAACUAAAGCGUGCAAGGAAUAAGGAACAGAAUGAAUUGAUUGACUCUCGCAAAUAAAUAAGGAAGGAAAUUAACCAAAGAAGGGAAGGAAUUGAGUGUCUCUUGCAGAGAAAUAAGGAAGGAAAUUAACCAGGAAGGGAAGGAAACUGAAGGAAAUAUAGUCUGCCCCUCCUCUGUUUCCAUCACUUCAUAGGAAAGGGAAAAUUACAUGUAGAUGAAGUAGCAUAUGACGACUUGGAGGUGAGCCCAGCCCCCGUGUCGUCCUCCCCCUAGGGCGACUUUGCCGGCCAGAAACAUAGCCGCCGCCACCGCAAACUCCCUCCUCCUCUCCCUCCGCCGCCGCCGGAAGACACCGCCGGGCUAAGCCCAAGGGCCGACGGCGGUGGCGGGGGAUCUCCUCUCUCGCACGUCUCCGGGAUGGGGCGGACCCCGAGGCAUGUGGUGGCGCGACCGAUCUGGGAUCUGCGGCGCGGCGGAUGGCUGCAGGCGGCGGGAGUCCGGCCCGUCCUCGGACGGCGAAGACUUGGCGCGGCGGAGGCCAGGAUUGCGGGCGCUGCGGAUGGCCCUUUGGGCGGCGGCGGCAGCUGCUGUCGACGGCGGCCGGCUUGGCUCCGGUGGCGUGCAUGCUGCCUUCAGAUCGGCGACAGUGGCGUGGAGGGCCUGGUGGUUUCGUCGGCAGCACCUCCGAUCAGAUCUAUUCUGACCGGUGCAGCCGACCGUGGUGGUCAUAUCUUCCGUCAUAGGUGGUCGGCUUGAGGCUGGAUGUUCGGAUCUCGGGAUUUGUCAUCUGGCACUAGCUGCGAGUCGGGAAGACGUAUUUGCCGGUGAAAACCGUGGCGACGGCGGGCGAUGGCGGCGUUCCACAGCGUUACCUUGAUGAAGGCAUCGUCAUGUGACUACCGUCGACCCACUCGUAUUGCUCCGGGGGAAACCCUAGGAUCUGGUGUUCCAGACCGGACGAUGGCG
rnacentral:lncRNA from 1 species